rnacentral:rRNA from 1 species
GACGAACCGUGCGAACGUUGUUCGGAAUCACUGGGCUUAAAGGGCGCGUAGGCGGGCUUACAAGUCAGGGGUGAAAGCCCACGGCUCAACCGUGGAAGUGCCUUUGAUACUGUAGGUCUCGAGCGAGGUAGGGGCGUGCGGAACUUCCGGUGGAGCGGUGAAAUGCGUAGAUAUUGGAAGGAACACCGAUGGCGAAAGCAGCACGCUGGACCUCUUCUGACGCUGAGGCGCGAAAGCCAGGGGAGCAAACGGG